ensembl:lncRNA
CUUUCUGGGGAACAGAACUUUUCCAUCAUAACAGUGGUCUGCAUCAGUGGUUUCAGUCCUGCUCCUGGGGUCCCAGCGCUCUGCACAUUGUGUGUGUCUCCCUUAUUCAACACACCUGAUUGAGAUCAUCAGCUUGUUAGCAGAGACUCCAUGAGCUGAACUGUGUCACAUAAGAGAGACAUACAACAUGUGCAGAGAAUCCACUGCUGUAUAUGACUGCAUUUCAAGUCUUAAACCAUAUGCUUCCAGAUGAAAAUAUAGUUUCUCUUCUGCCAAAACUCAUUUAUGAUUACGUUCAGAUUCAUAGUGCAUAUUAAAUAAAGAUUACUUUAUUGUACAUUUAAGGUGUAUGCAGUCCUUAGAGCUUUAAGAGCUUCCAUCCCUCCAUCCAUCCAUCCAUCCCUCCCUCCCUCCAUCCAUCCAUCCAUCCAUCCAUUCUUCCCUCCAUCCAUUUAUCCAUCCAUCCAUCAUCCAUUCCCCCUCCAUCCAUCCAUCAAUCAAUCCCUCCGUUCAUCCAUCCAUCCAUCCAUCCAUCCCUUCCUCCCUCCAUUCAUCCAUCCAUCCAACCAUCAUCCAUUACUCCCUCCCUCCAUCCAUCAGUCCCUCCAUUCAUUCAUCCAUCCCUCCAUCAUCCAUCCAUUCCUCCCUCCCUCGCUCCAUCCAUUUACCAAUCCAUCCAUCCAUCCCUCCAUCCUUCAUCAUUCAAUCCAUCCCUCCCUUCCUCCCUCCAUCAUCCAUCCAUCACUCCCUCCCUCUCUCCCUCACUCAUUCACUCAAUCACUCCUCCCUCCAUCCCUGCAUCAUCCCUCCGUCAAAUCCCUACCUCCAUCCAUCCCUCCCUUCCUCCCUCCAUCCUUCAUCAUUCAAUCCAUCCCUCCAUUCCUCCCUCCAUCAUCCCUUCCUCCCUCCAUCCAUCCCUCCCUCCAUCAUCCAUCCAUCCCUCCCUCCAUCCCUGCAUCAUCCCUCCAUCAAUCCCUCCUUUCCUCCCUCCAUCCAUCAAACCAUCCCUCCCUCCCUCCCUCCAUUCAUCACUCCCUCCAUCCCUCCCUCCCUCUCUUCCUCCCUCCAUUCAUCAAUCCAUCCAUCCCUCCAUUCUUCAU